CCCGCGCCCGUCCCGCCGCCCCCGCCCGGGCACAAGCGGUGGAGCAUGUGGUUUAAUUCGAUGCAACGCGAAGAACCUUACCUGGUCUUGACAUAUCUAGAAUCCUGCAGAGAUGCGGGAGUGCCUUCGGGAAUUAGAAUACAGGUGCUGCAUGGCUGUCGUCAGCUCGUGUCGUGAGAUGUUGGGUUAAGUCCCGCAACGAGCGCAACCCUUGUCCUUAGUUACCAGCGGGUUAAGCCGGGAACUCUAAGGAUACUGCCAGUGACAAACUGGAGGAAGGCGGGGACGACGUCAAGUCAUCAUGGCCCUUACGACCAGGGCUACACACGUGCUACAAUGGUAGGUACAGAGGG
rnacentral:rRNA from 1 species